rnacentral:tRNA from 1 species
GGCCUGUUUGCUCAGUGGAUAGAGCAUCUGCCUGAGGACUGAAGGGUCCCGGGUUCAAUUCCCGGUCAGGGCA